GCUCGAUCCAGGCGCGCCAACUUUCUUGAGGGGUCGGCUCCGGGCACGCCCCACUUCUGGAGGGGUCGGUUCCAGUGCGAGCACCUCCUGGGGAGAAAACCCGGAACAUUGGGCUCUCAGGACAGGAGCUGAUGUUCCAGCAGCAUCGUGGGCUGAUUUCAUUGGGGCCCGGGGAAGACUUUGUGGAAAUGAGCGCUGCAGGGAGAACUUUUUCUGGGCAUACCGUCUUACACAGGGGGACCACACUGUAUGGAUGGUUGGGGAUCUUGCUGCUUGCACUUGGUAGGUG